UUUUUUUUACAGAUUUUAUUACAUGCUUUAGAUUCAGGGUUAAGGUCAUCCUCUUCUGGAUUACAGUAAAAGAAAAUCCACAGUCAAUGUCAUACUCAUCAGCUGGAGCUUUAUUUAAAAAAAAUGUAUGUUCUCUGCUCCAGCCAAAACGUGCAGAUACCUUGCAGGUCUCUAGCUUGCACUCUUGUAUUGUUGUUUAUUUUGCAGUUAUUUUGUUGCUUUCUGAGAAGGAUGAUCAAGAAACCUUUCAACCCCUCUUCGUUUAGGCCACAUGUCGAAUUUUUCAGUAGCAAACAAGCAGGAAAGUUCUUUGAAGGAACCAGGAUGAGUUGAAAGGUAUUUAUAGUGGUUGGCCAUCUCUGCCACAAUAAUCCUCUGAUUCUCCUGAAGAAUCCUUACAAGCAGGAUGAUGUUGAACACCCUCCUCUUUGUUGCUGGAUCGCAUACCAUGCCAUAUGACAAAGACAUCCACAUCACUUCUGUUUUUUUGUUUUCUUUGCUUCUGCUACUGACCACUCCUCUACAUCACAGACCAAAGUCUUCCAACUGGUUUCCGGUCACUGCCAGUUCCAUGGAUUCUGUUUUGCAACUUGCUUUGCAGAGCUGUUGUGGUCUUCUGAUAUCAACAGGUCAGCAAGAUGGCCAAAUUGUUGAACAUCUGCUAAUUCCAGCACAUGACCAUGAUAGUUACAGUAGCAUGUCUGGUCACUGCAAUCCAACAGUCACUGGAGCAAGGCCCUCUCACAGUUGGGAAAAUUCGAGUUCCUUUGAGCCUUGACUGAUUCCAGAGUGGUCUUGGCCUUCCUUACAUGGCGGUGCUUCCUGCAGAUCACCAAGUUGUCAUCAAGACUUGAGCUUAUAAUUGAGAUCCUGAUGAUCAAUCUGAGUAUCAAGGUCUCAUGGUGAUAGGCAGAAACAGACUGAAAGACACAAGAAUUA
ensembl:processed_transcript